CAGCAGCCGCGGGAAUACGAGGGGGGCAAGCGUUGUUCGGAAUUAUUGGGCGUAAAGGGUGCGUAGGCGGUUUGAUAAGUUUGAUGUGAAAUCUCUGGGCUCAACCCAGAGUCUGCACGAGAAACUACCGGGCUUGAGUAUUGGAGAGGUGAGUGGAAUUUCCGGUGUAGCGGUGAAAUGCGUUGAGAUCGAAAAGAACACCAACAGCGAGAGCACUCUGCUGGGACGACACUGACACUAAGAGACGAAAGCUAGGGGAGCAAAUGGGAUUAGAUACCCCAGUAGUCCCUGUCUCUUAUAC
rnacentral:rRNA from 1 species